CACUGUUGACCCUGGAAAUCCAGAAGGGGUGGAGCCUGUUGGACAGUUUCUAGGCGACCCAUUCUUGGUUUCAAGGGUUGCCAUGG
rnacentral:pre_miRNA from 15 species